rnacentral:tRNA from 1 species
GCCUUCGUGGUGUAGUGGUGAACACGUGCGACGCGUAACCGAGAGGUCCGUGGUUCAAUUCCCGGCGUGGGCA